GUAGUCCACGCCCUAAACGAUGUCAACUAGUUGUCGGGUCUUAACGGACUUGGUAACGCAGCUAACGCGUGAAGUUGACCGCCUGGGGAGUACGGUCGCAAGAUUAAAACUCAAAGGAAUUGACGGGGACCCGCACAAGCGGUGGAUUAUGUGGAUUAAUUCGAUGCAACGCGAAAAACCUUACCUACCCUUGACAUGUACCGAAGCCCGCCGAGAGGUGGGCGUGCCCGAAAGGGAGCGGUAACACAGGUGCUGCAUGGCUGUCGUCAGCUCGUGUCGUGAGAUGUUGGGUUAAGUCCCGCAACGAGCGCAACCCUUGUCAUUAAUUGCCAUCAUUCAGUUGGGCACUUUAAUGAAACUGCCGGUGACAAACCGGAGGAAGGUGGGGAUGACGUCAAGUCCUCAUGGCCCUUAUGGGUAGGGCUUCACACGUAAUACAAUGGCGCGUACAGAGGGUUGCCAACCCGCGAGGGGGAGCUAAUCUCAGAAAGCGCGUCGUAGUCCGGAUCGGAGUCUGCAACUCGACUCCGUGAAGUCGGAAUCGCUAGUAAUCGCGGAUCAGCAUGUCGCGGUGAAUA
rnacentral:rRNA from 1 species